rnacentral:rRNA from 1 species
UACGGGAGGCAGCAGUGGGGAAUAUUGCACAAUGGGCGCAAGCCUGAUGCAGCCAUGCUGCGUGUAUGAAGAAGGCCUUCGGGUUGUAAAGUACUUUCAGUCGUGAGGAAGGUGUUAAGGUUAAUAACCUUAGCAAUUGACGUUAGCGACAGAAGAAGCACCGGCUAACUCCGUGCCAGCAGCCGCGGUAAUACGGAGGGUGCGAGCGUUAAUCGGAAUUACUGGGCGUAAAGGGCACGCAGGCGGUUAAUUAAGUUGGAUGUGAAAUCCCCGGGCUUAACCUGGGAAUGGCAUUCAAGACUGGUUAGCUAGAGUCUUGUAGAGGGGGUAGAAUUCCAUGUGUAGCGGUGAAAUGCGUAGAGAUGUGGAGGAAUACCGGUGGCGAAGGCGGCCCCUGGGACAAAGACUGACGCUCAUGUGCGAAAGCGUGGGGAGCAAACGAGGAUUAGAUACC